rnacentral:sRNA from 1 species
AGAGGAGGAACCAUUAUGAACGGAGUUCAUAAUUAUGCAUGGUUCCGACGAGAGGCCGCCGAACGACGAGGUGAGGGGGCAAUACAUAA